GCCCCUGUAGCUCAGUUGGAUAGAGCAGCGGUUUCCUAAACCGUUGGUCGCCUGUUCGAGUCAGGCUAGGGGCA
rnacentral:tRNA from 1 species